AUUGAACGCUGGCGGCAGGCCUAACACAUGCAAGUCGAGCGGAGCGGCGGACGGGUGAGUAAUGCCUAGGAAUCUGCCUGGUAGUGGGGGAUAACGUCCGGAAACGGGCGCUAAAACCGCAUCCUAUCAGAAGAGCCUGGGUGGGAUUAGCUAGUUGGUGGGGUAAAGGCCUAACAUGGCGACGACCCGUAACUGGUCUGAGAGGAUGAUCAGUAACACGGGAACUGAUACACGGUCCAGACUCCGACGUGAGGCAGCAGUGGGGAAUAUUGGACAAUGGGCGAAAGUCUGAUCCAGCCAUGCCGCGUGUGUGAAGAAGGUCUUCGGAUUGUAAAGCACUUUAAGUUGGGAGGCGUUACCAACAGAAUAAGCACCGGCUAACUUCGUGCCAGCAGCCGCGGUAAUUC
rnacentral:rRNA from 1 species